GAUGAACGCUGGCGGCGUGCCUAAUACAUGCAAGUCGAGCGAACGGACGAGAAGCUUGCUUCUCUGAUGUUAGCGGCGGACGGGUGAGUAACACGUGGAUAACCUACCUAUAAGACUGGGAUAACUUCGGGAAACCGGAGCUAAUACAGGAUGAUAUUUUGAACCGCAUGGUUCAAAAGUGAAAGACGGUCUUGCUGUCACUUAUAGAUGGAUCCGCGCUGCAUUAGCUAGUUGGUAAGGUAACGGCUUACCAAGGCAACGAUGCAUAGCCGACCUGAGAGGGUGAUCGGCCACACUGGAACUGAGACACGGUCCAGACUCCUACGGGAGGCAGCAGUAGGGAAUCUUCCGCAAUGGGCGAAAGCCUGACGGAGCAACGCCGCGUGAGUGAUGAAGGUCUUCGGAUCGUAAAACUCUGUUAUUAGGGAAGAACAUAUGUGUAAGUAACUGUGCACAUCUUGACGGUACCUAAUCAGAAAGCCACGGCUAACUACGUG
rnacentral:rRNA from 1 species